rnacentral:rRNA from 1 species
CCUACGGGAGGCAGCAGUAGGGAAUCUUCCACAAUGGGCGAAAGCCUGAUGGAGCAACGCCGCGUGGGUGAAGAAGGUCUUCGGAUCGUAAAACCCUGUUGUUAGAGAAGAAAGUGCGUGAGAGUAACUGUUCACGUUUCGACGGUAUCUAACCAGAAAGCCACGGCUAACUACGUGCCAGCAGCCGCGGUAAUACGUAGGUGGCAAGCCUUAUCCGGAUUUAUUGGGCGUAAAGGGAACGCAGGCGGUCUUUUAAGUCUGAUGUGAAAGCCUUCGGCUUAACCGGAGUAGUGCAUUGGAAACUGGGAGACGUGAGUGCAGAAGAGGAGAGUGGAACUCCAUGUGUAGCGGUGAAAUGCGUAGAUAUAUGGAAGAACACCAGUGGAGAAAGCGGCUCUCUGGUCUGUAACUGACGCUGAGGUUCGAAAGCGUGGGUAGCAAACAGGAUUAGAUACCCCUGUAGUC